AACAUCAUCUCUUCUUCACUUAAUUUAAACCCUUUCUUUUAAUUUUAUUUCCUCCCAACCCUUUCUGUUUCGCACACCAAAACUCUUUUUCUCUUCAAUAUAUUUACAAAAUUCCUGAUUGUUUAAUCCAUUAGAAAAAAGAAGUGAAGCAUUUUUCGAGUGGUCUUGCAGGAUCCAAGAUCUGGAGAUAUUCCUAGAGUUAAUGGACAACUGGCAAUUUCGUGUGCUUUCGGUGACAAGAGCCUUAAACCGCAUCUAUAAUCAGAUCCCUACAUUCAAUGGACUAACAUAGAUAACAAAACAAAUAUUUUAAUUCUUGCAAGUGAUGGUCUUUGGAAGGUGAUGAGUAAUCAAGAGGCUGUUGAUAUUGCAAAAAAUUAAAGACCCACAGAAGGCUUCGAAACAAUUAAUUGCGAAAACAAUUAAAAGAGAGUUAAGAUGACAUAUCUUGUAUUUUC